rnacentral:tRNA from 1 species
UUGCCGGAGGUGCCCUGGAGGAUCGCGAUGUUCCCGCCGUCGGGCAGGGCCUUGGCCAUGUCCUGCGCGGCGAUCUUCGCCUGGCCGGCAAA